CCAGACUCCUACGGGAGGCAGCAGUGGGGAAUAUUGCACAAUGGGGGAAACCCUGAUGCAGCGACGCCGCGUGAGUGAAGAAGUAUCUCGGUACGUAAAGCUCUAUCAGCAGGGAAGAAAAUGACGGUACCUGACUAAGAAGCCCCGGCUAACUACGUGCCAGCAGCCGCGGUAAUACGUAGGGGGCAAGCGUUAUCCGGAUUUACUGGGUGUAAAGGGAGCGUAGACGGCAGCGCAAGUCUGGAGUGAAAUGCCGGGGCCCAACCCCGGAACUGCUUUGGAAACUGGGAGACUUGAGUGCAGAAGAGGAGAGUGGAACUCCAUGUGUAGCGGUGAAAUGCGUAGAUAUAUGGAAGAACACCAGUGGCGAAAGCGGCUCUCUGGGCUGUAACUGACGCUGAGGUUCGAAAGCGUGGGUAGCAAACAGGAUUAGAUACCCUGGUAU
rnacentral:rRNA from 1 species